rnacentral:rRNA from 1 species
AACGUAGGAGGCGAGCGUUAUCCGGAUUUACUGGGUGUAAAGCGCGUGCAGGCGGUUUAGCAAGUCGUGCGUGAAAGCGCUCUGGCUCAACCGGGCGAGGACGUGCGGAACUGCUGAACUAGAGGCAGGUAGAGGCGUGUGGAAUUCCGGGUGUAGUGGUGAAAUGCGUAGAGAUCCGGAGGAACACCAGUGGCGAAGGCGACGCGCUGGGCCUGACCUGACGCUAAGACGCGAAAGCAUGGGGAGCGAACGGGAUUAGAAAC